rnacentral:rRNA from 1 species
GACGAACGCUGGCGGCGUGCCUAAUACAUGCAAGUAGAACGCUGAAGGAGGAGCUUGCUCUUCUGGAUGAGUUGCGAACGGGUGAGUAACGCGUAGGUAACCUGCCUGGUAGCGGGGGAUAACUAUUGGAAACGAUAGCUAAUACCGCAUAACAGUAGAUGUUGCAUGACAUUUACUUAAAAGGUGCAAUUGCAUCACUACCAGAUGGACCUGCGUUGUAUUAGCUAGUUGGUGGGGUAACGGCUCACCAAGGCGACGAUACAUAGCCGGCCUGAGAGGGGGAUCCGCCACACUGGGACUGGGACACGGCCCAGGCUCCUUCGGGGGGCAGCAGUAGGGGAUCUUCGGCAAUGGACGGAAGUCUGACCGAGCAACGCCGCGUGAGUGAAGGAGGGUUUCCGAUCGUAAAGCUCUGUUGUAAGGGAAGAACGAGUGUGAGAGUGGAAAGUUCACACUGUGACGGUAUCUUACCAGAAAGGGACGGCUAACUACGUG